rnacentral:rRNA from 1 species
GAUGAACGCUGGCGGCGUGCUUAACACAUGCAAGUCGAACGACGACGCCCAGCUUGCUGGGUGGUUUAGUGGCGAACGGGUGAGUAACACGUGAGUACCCUGCCCUUUACUCUGUCAUAAGCCUUGGAAACUGGGUCUAAUACCGGAUAGGACCGUCCACCGCAUGGUGGGUGUUGGAGAGCUUUAUCGGUUUUGGGUGGACUUGCGGCCUAUCCGCUUGUUGGUGGUGGAGUGGCUGACGAAGGCGACGACGGAUAGCCGGCCCGGGAAGGUGAACAGGCACCCGGGGACUGCGACACGGCGCAGACUCCUACGGGAGGCAGUAGGCGGGAAUAUUGCACAGUGAGCGCAAGCCGGAGGCGGAGGCGCCGGGUGAGGGAUGACGGCCUUCGGGUUGUGAACAGCAUUCGGUAAGGAAGAAGCGGAAGUGACGGUACCUAAAGAAGAAGCACCGGCUAACUACGUG